rnacentral:rRNA from 1 species
GGCGAACGGGUGAGUAACACGUGGGUGACCUACCUUCGAAUGGGGGAUAACGUUCCGAAAGGGACGCUAAUACCGCAUAACAUCCUGCUUUUGAAGAAGUGGAGAUCAAAGCUGGGGAUCGCAAGACCUGGCGUUUGAAGAGGGGCCCGCGUCCGAUUAGCUAGUUGGUGAGGUAAUGGCUCACCAAGGCAACGAUCGGUAGCCGGCCUGAGAGGGCGGACGGCCACACUGGGACUGAGACACGGCCCAGACUCCUACGGGAGGCAGCAGUGGGGAAUUGUUCGCAAUGGGCGCAAGCCUGACGACGCAACGCCGCGUGGAGGAUGAAGGUCUUCGGAUUGUAAACUCCUGUUGCCCGGGACGAACGUCUCCGACUUAACACGUCGGAGAGUGACGGUACCGGGUGAGGAAGCCCCGGCUAACUCUGUGCCAGCAGCCGCGGCAAUACAGAGGGGGCAAGCGUUGUUCGGAAUUACUGGGCGUAAAGGGCGCGUAGGCGGCCUGCUAAGUCGAACGUGAAAUCCCCGGGCUCAACCCGGGAACUGCGUUCGAGACUGGUGGGCUCGAAUUCGGGAGAGGGAUGCGGAAUUCCAGGUGUAGCGGUGAAAUGCGUAGAUAUCUGGAGGAACACCGGUGGCGAAGGCGGCAUCCUGGACCGACAUUGACGCUGAGGCGCGAAAGCCAGGGGAGCAAACGGGAUUAGAUACCCCGGUAGUCC